GGAAGGAUGGCAGAGAGGUCUAAUGCGGCGGUCUUGAAAACCGCUGAACCGGAAACGGUUCCGGGGGUUCGAAUCCCUCUCCUUCCGCCA
rnacentral:tRNA from 2 species